AUGUUUCUACAGUACUUGCCACCAUGAUCUUAAAUAUUUGCUACUUAGUAGAACUGUUUUAGCUGUGGAUGUGCAGAGCCUUUUGUUGCUGGCUGGGAUUGUGUUCAGACUGGACAAACAUCUAGGUGUUUCUCAUUCUUCCCAACUUUAUUCAGGCAUUUAUGAGAAAAAAAAAGAUAUUUUAAUUUCUCUUAGUUUCUUUUACAUGUGGUUUUUUUCUUGUUUUUUUUUUUUUUUUAUUGCUUUAAUCUUAAUAGUCUGAGAAUUCUGGAAAAUACAAAUUUUCAAAGCAGAUGAAACAUCAGUUGCAGCCUUAGAGGCUUCUCUGGGACAGAGCUGUUUCCUCUAACUCACUGAAGACGUUGCUUCAGGGAGCAAAAAAUACAUUUGUUCUCCAUGGCACUUCAUUAUUUGGCUUCCUUGAAAGAUCCAUUUCAGGAGCUGGUUGCUUCUGACAGCAAGAGCAGUUGCUGCAGUCCAGAUGAAGGAUCUGAGUGUGAUUCUAGAAUAUGUGACACAAACAUCAGCAUGGAUAACACUGCUGUUAGAUGGAGAGAGUGGCGCAACAGGAUGGAAGAAGUGCCCAGAGGCAGCUGCCAAGUCUGUGAGCUCAGAACCCCACUGGUACUGCUCUGGGAAUGCCUCUGCUAUCCACGGAGAGCUUUGAUCCAUUGCAAAGCACAUCCAGAAAUGGAAGACCUUUAUUCUUUCUUACUCAUGAGAAAGAUCUGUCAAGUCAGUAAGUGGUUUGAUUGAAUGAGAGCAGUGAAACUAGUCCAUGGUGGAAGAUUUUUAAAAAGAGGAGACUUCCCAGUAUGAGAAUGAACGAUUAAUGAGCAAAGAUACCCAGGGAGGAAGACUUCAUCCUGGAUACUUAUCUAGAAUUUCAGCUUGAAUGAUCCAACCAGAACCAUUUUCCAUGCAUAUUACUACCUGAUAACUGUGGUCUGCCACACAUGUAUUCUGACAACCUUUAAAGAUUGGUGGGGAUUUGUCCACAGGGGAAUCCUUAAGUCUGGUGACUUACCUUUCCCACUACCUGGACAUCCAUUCACUCCAAAGGAUCCAAGAAACAUCCAGUAAAUGACUCUCCAUGCACAAUGAACUGCCCCAGGACCCUGG
rnacentral:lncRNA from 1 species